rnacentral:lncRNA from 1 species
ACAUAGCAGGAAUAAUACUGCCUUUUCUUUCUGGCAUGGAUCAAGAGAAAAGAAAAUACAAGAAAACAGACAGAAGCAAGGCAAGGUACUUCUAUGGAAGGGUGAGCCCUCACAGAUGGAGCAAUGGGGCGCGCACACCUGAACAAGGGAGGGGAAGGAGUUCUUAUCCCUGAUGCAUGUGACCCCUGCUGCUGUGUCCUUCCCCUAUUGGCUAAGGUUAGACCACACAGCCUAAACUAAUUCCGAUUGGCUAAUUCAAAGAGAGCGACGGGGGCUUCUGACAGCUUUGGAGAUUGUGACAUUGGAAUAAAGGAAAAACGUACAGGACUCAUGAAGCGCUGAAAUGUUCACAAAUAUCAAGCAAAAGUCAAUGAAAUUUAUUUUGAGCUAUUUACAUCAUUUAAUAAUUGAGCAAGGUAUACUCCUAUGAACAAAAUUUGGAGCAUGUUUGUCUCUCUCUGCCUGGCGUCUUCAGAAUUUGGAAACUAGUUAUGGUUUAUAAUCAGCUAUAGAAUUUUAACACGUGCUCUCAAAUGCAAGUUUCUGAUAACUUUGGAGAUUGUGACAUUGGAAUAAAGGAAGAGCUGGAAUGUUCAUGAAUAUCAAGCAAAAGUCAUGGAAAUUUAUUUUGAGCUAUUUACAGCAUUUAAUAAUUGAGCAAGGUAUACUCCUAUGAACAAAAUUUGGAGCAUGUUUGUCUCUCUCUGUCUGCCUGGCAUCUACAGAAUUUGGAAACUAGUUGUGCUGUACUGCAUGAGAAUGCCUGCAUUUAGUAUGCGAACUGGAAUUGGCAAAGGACGAUGGCUGCUCUCCCGCUAACUUUAAAUAAGUCAUGUCACAAAUUGCAUUCGUUCCCAGAUUUCCUAAACUUUCCAGAGAAAAUGGUCUUCUCCCUGGCUCAGCAAGAAGAUGAACUUUAAACACUGAGAAACUGGUCAUCUCCCUGGCUCAACCAGAAGAUGAACUUUAAACACUACUCUCAAUGACUUGAUGUUCCCAUCACUACUCCUGUCAUAAAGGGAGGGGACUCAGAUAUUGAGAAUUUUAUGAUAGUGUGAACUGUCUGGUAUGUCAUUUAAGUAAGCCCGUUGCUGAAAUAUUUUCCAUGUUAUUAGAAAGAGCUGAAGAGAGGGAUUGAGAUGGCUUCUUUAUUUUUUGUCUUUUGGGAAUUAAAGGAACCUGGUUCAACAAGGGCCUACACCUAAGUCUCUUGUUGUACCAGAGUACAAUUUAGGACUGCUCCUGAGGAAGGAAUUAGCUAGAAAUCUAGAGAGUAAGGGUAACAGAUUUACAUAGAAUAACAGCCUCAGUAUUUUUGGUUCCUCUCCAGUAAAGAUCACAAAGAAUAUUGCUAAAUCGCUAAAACACCUUUGCAAUAACGUAAGGGCUUACAACUAUAUACCAAUGUAGCUCAGUUACUAAACUGGAGUAAACUAAUUUCUCUUGUGUAGAAAAAUUGGUUGGCUGUGGUUUUAUAGCAGAUCUGCAAUUAUUAAUAGUUAUGCCAAUAAUCGUUUAACAGUGCAUAUGUUAAUAUAUAUGGAAAGACAAUGUGUAUAGACAGAUGUGUAAAAUUGAAAAAUAAACAUAUAACAAGAGAGAAACAUCUAUCGAACAGACAAUAUACAUACACAUCAAACACAACAGCAGUUUUAGUGACCAUAAUAUUUAUUUCUCAUUUUUACAUUGCUUACUUUAGUGACAACUGAAAAUGACAGUUGGCAAUGCAGCUAACAGUUUCAAUAAAAGUAUAAAACAAAA